GUGCGGUUAUGAGAAGGGGAUUUGCUUGAGUAGCAAUGGUCGUUCGGGUGGAAUGUGUUUUUGGUGGCAAGAAUUGAAUGUUGAUCUGAUAUCCUAUUCGGCAAACCAUUUUGUAGCAAAUGUGUGCAAUAGUGAGGGUGUUCCUUGUUGGAGAGCUAUGGGCAUUUAUGGUUGGCCAGAGGCGGAAAACAAAUAUAAAACUUGGGAUUUGAUGAGAACACUAGUAGAAAAAUACAAAAAGGUACCGCUCAAUGGCCAUCGAUUUUCGAAAACCGGUAGCUUAAAAAAUGGGCGGGAUUAUAUAUAUUUAAAUUGCCACCGGUUCAAACAGAACCGGUGGCAUAAAUGGUAAAGGCCACCGGUUUUAAACCGGUGGCUUUGUUAAAAAAAAACGCGCCUCAUCUCUUAAUUAUAUUAGCUUAGCUAUUCUUCUCUCUUCUCGUACUCUCUCCUUUGUUUUCUCUCUCUUCUCGAUUUCUCCGUCUCCUCUCUCUUCUCUCUGCUCAAACCCUCCUUUCUCUCUCUUCACUUGCCUCCUCUUGCUUCAUCUACCGCCGCUCCACUCUUUCUUUCUUUCACUCCUCUCUUGGCAGCACUAAUGGGGAAUUCGGGAUUUGAGGAUGACGGCGGUUGUGAAUGUUGUGACCACCAUCGUAAUUGACGGUCUAUUUAUUUACUGGUGCCAGAUCUUUGCAGAUGUGGUGGGAUUCUUCACGAAGGCUAUUACUUCAACUGGAGCAAAGAAAGGUGAACUGUUUUUUGGUGAUCUGAGUACUCAGGUGAAAAACAUCAAUGUCACAGCUGAUAUCAAAGUGGACACCGGCUCUAAUGUGAGUCACAAUAUUGCUGGAAUUUGUUGGAUAUGAUGUUUUGGUUCUUGAAGUAUUCUAAGCUGUGAUCUAUCUUUUUUUGGCUUGAGAUUAUAUUAAUUUGGUUUCUUUAUAUCUCGGAGUAUAGUUAUUGUUGUUAAUUGUACUGUUUUAUGAAGAGUGUAAUUAUGAAUGAGUUGUCAUGGUGAUAAAUUAGUUUUUUUUUUUUUUUUUUGUCUAGAUUGAGUUGUCGCAUCACUAGCUUGAAAGUCAGCGUUGAAGUCUUGACUAAAUGAUUGUUACUUAGAGGCUUCUUUAGAAAGACUAUUGCUAUUUGCUGCUUGUCUGUUUCUUUGAUUUUUACUCAAGUAUUGAGGAUGAAAAGUAAUAGAUAGUUAUACUUUUAAAAGUAUCUUCAAUUCACCAUUACAAGUCUUCUAUGUUGCCAUUGUCCUUUGGAAGGAAGAUUUAGUUUAUUUUUGAACUUAAUUUAGCUUUGUGUGAUUCGUGCAUACUGUAGCUUAGUUGGGGUUAUGUUGUGAUGAGGUUGAUGAACAUGUUCUCUUCACGGCACCAAGGUGAUUAUGGUGACUGUGGACGCGAUUCGCCAGCCCACUCCAUUUCUCUAUCUCUUCUUGAGUCCUCUGCUUAAAUCCGAGAAUAAGGUACCAUCACAAGGAGAGAAUGCAACUGAUACUUCUCCUCAGGCCGGGCACCAGACCUUCUGACGUCACGGUCCCGGAAUUAGGUAGUUGUGAGACUCUUGUGUAUUUGUGUACUAUGUAAGGCUGUCCCAUUGUUCCCUUAAACCCUUAUUAUAAUUUCACAUUUGAUAUAGUGUUCAUACAUAUUGAAUUGGCUCGUAAAUGCGGAGUACAUAAUUGAUGAUUGUAUAAUUUUGUAUAAUUUUCUUUUAAAUGACAAUGCUACAUUGAUGUAUUGUUCAUGUGAUCUAUGGUUUGUUUUGUUUGUAAAAAUUUGCUUGGGAGUGUGUUUUUUGCAGUUUUUGAGAAGAAAUAUUGUGGACAUGAACUGCUGGCAACCUGUAAUGUGAUGGCUUCUUUCUUUCCUUGCUGAUAGGCAGAUUGAGAGUGGAAUUUAUUGGUUAUUUGAUUUGUUUAUGUUUCAAAUGGUUCAUGAGUUAUCCUCCUCACCAUUGACUGGAUUAAUGCCAGGUUGUUGCUCAAGUUAAAAGAACUGAUAUGAACACAUUUUAUUUCUUUUCUUCAUUUCUGGUUCAUUUUAUAUGGUCCCCGUAGUAAUUAGUAAGGAUGAUUGAAGUGAGGGGCCAUAACAAAGGAGUGUGGCUUAGUUAUUCUAGUGAUUGGGAGAUUUCUUGAUAGUGUUAUCUAGAAUAUUAGAAAAUUUAUCUGUCAGUACUCUUUAUGGUUUUCCGGUUGAAUAGGUUUGUUUUGGUAAGGGGAAAUAAAAAGCUUAACUCUAAUUUUGACCUGUAGAACUACUUGAAUAUGUUUGUUUUUGGUUGUUAUUGCACACCAAGAUAUGUCGUGUUUCAGUUUCUUGUAGUAUAAGGUUGUCUUAAACUCUGUCAAAAAAAAAGGUGGUCUCAAACUCUGUCAAAAAAAGAGCAAGGGAACAUCUUCAUGCUAAUUGAUUCAGGCUUUGAUAGAAUUAGUUAGUCUGUUUACCAGAUUUAUGUAUCUUGAUUUCCUUGAUUUCUUUUAAAGAUUUAUUUUAUUUUAUUGGAAUCAACGAUUAUCAUCAUCUUAAUCACAGGUUCCAUUGUUAAAGUUUGAAUUGCAGAACAUCCUCGCAAGGUUGUUGAUGCUGCCUCGCAAGGCUAGGCUGCUGCUGCAGCUGCUGCCUCACAAGGAUAAUGGCAGACCCUUUGUUUCCGCAUAAGCUUCUGUUCGAGCAGUUUGUCACUAUAUCUUGUUCUGUUCGGUCUGAACUGAAAAAUCGGAAGGGCGGAAUAAAGGAGGAAUGGGAUUUAGCACUUAUAAAAGUACUCACAGUAGUAGCAUGCACGCUCCUUGCUGCUCAUAUGCCAAUACCUUCAGCUCUGAUCUACAUAACAGACUGCAGAAGCUCCCAAACAACAUAUUUGAAUCAAGUUAUCGUUAUAGAGAAUUUGAUCUUCAGAAAAGAGUUCUGUCUUUUUUAUGCAAGGCUGUACAAUUUAGUUUAGUAGGAUUUACAGCAGGGGCACUUCAGAGCGCCUUGUUCAUGUUCAUGGCGUUGUUCUGCUACUGUGUAGCCUCUUUGUUUGUAACCUUGUAUUUUAUUUUAUUUUUUUUGGACAAAAAUUGUAAUACUACAUCAUUUUUUU